UACGGGGGGGGCAAGCGUUGUUCGGAAUUACUGGGCGUAAAGGGCUCGUAGGCGGCCAACUAAGUCAUACGUGAAAUCCCUCGGCUUAACCGGGGAACUGCGUCUGAUACUGGAUGGCUUGAGAUUGGGAGAGGGAUGCGGAAUUCCAGGUGUAGCGGUGAAAUGCGUAGAUAUCUGGAGGAACACCGGUGGCGAAGGCGGCAUCCUGGACCAACACUGACGCUGAGGAGCGAAAGCCAGGGGAGCAAACGGGG
rnacentral:rRNA from 1 species